GGCAACGACCACGAGCCAAUCGCGGGCGACGACGGAGGGGACAAUGGCAGUCCAUAAGCCAUCGUUGCUCGCGACGGGACUUCCAGAUCUGCAACCAUGUCUCUAGCGACAGCGGCUCGUCCAUGGCUGCGAGCGGCGGUGGUCGACUUCCAGAUCUGCAACUCCGUCGCUAUGGACGGCCAGAUUUCGAGAUCUGUAGAACUAUGAGACGGACAAAACAGAGGAAGUAGGCCAUGCUCGGCUUGGACAUAGCGGGGGUCAGCCUAAUCAAGGCGCCAGUGACUCCGCCGUUGGUGAUAACAGAGGAGGGGCGGAGGUCGGGCGGCUGUGGACGAAGGAGGAGCAAGAGAGGGCUGAAGAGAAGAACUUUUAAUUUUUCUUCGCCGGAAUCAACGCCCCGACCGAAUCGACGCUGAAAUCGCUUCCGCAUCGGAGAUCCACCUCGAUCCACCAUAACCAACAAGCUCCGGUUCGCGUAAUCACUCGGAACCCACGCAUGCACGCGCCUAGAGAGGAGGCGAGCUUCAGAGAAGCGAUUCCGAAGCUUCCGAUUCAACCAUUGGACGGACCACCCAAUCAAUCGCCCCAAAUAAAGAAAGUAGAGGAAGGGGGCGAGGGGAAGAAAGAAGAGUUACUAUUACUUGACUCUGUAGAUUUGGUUCACUUUUUUUUUUCCUCGUUGCGAAAAGGAGGAUCAAGUGAGCGCACAGCAACUGAUGGAGGCCAAGGCGGUGGUGGGGUUCACGUAUAGAGAUGCACCUUCGCGGAGGAAAGAGAGAGAGGGAGCAGAGCCAUACCAGGAGGAGGAGAGCAGAGCUUCCAAGUGAUGGGCUGUUAUUGAAGAGAAAGGGGGAGCAAAAAUUUUAAUCGCUCAACUGACAAGUGGGUCCGGCGUUGCCACGUGUCAGUAUGCGGAUGAUUCAAUACGAAUCCUAUGCAGUGUAUUUAAUGCCCCUAAUAUUUUCCCUUGGGUGGUGUUGUUGGUCGGAUAAUUUAUUCUGAUUUAUAAUAUUUUCAUUUUAACUA